AUUGAACGCUGGCGGCAGGCCUAACACAUGCAAGUCGAACGAGUGGCGGACGGGUAAGUAAAGUCUGGGAAACUGCCUGAUGGAGGGGGAUAACGACGGGAAGCGGUAGCUAAUAGAGCAAACCAUCAGAUGUGCCCAUAUGGGAUUAGCAUGUUGGUGGGGUAACGGCUAACCAAGGCGACGACCCCGAGCUGGUCUGAGAGGAUGACCAGCCACACUGGAACUGAGACACGGUCCAGACUCCUACGGGAGGCAGCAGGGGGGAAUAUUGCACAAUGGGCGCAAGCCUGAUGCAGCCAUGCCGCGUGUAUGAAGAAGGCCUGCGGGUUGUAAAGUACUUUCAGCGGUGAGGCGUUACCCGCAGAAGAAGCACCGGCUAACUCCGUGCCAGCAGCCGCGGUAAUAC
rnacentral:rRNA from 1 species